rnacentral:rRNA from 1 species
GAUGAACGCUGGCGGCGUGCCUAACACAUGCAAGUCGAGCGGCAGCGAGGGGUGCUUGCCCCCUGCCGGCGAGCGGCGGACGGCUGAGUAACGCGUGGGAACGUGCCCCAAAGUGAGGAAUAACUGCCCGAAAGGGUAGCUAAUACCGCAUAUUAUCUUCGGAUCAAAGGAUUUAUCCGCUUUGGGAGCGGCUCGCGUCGGAUUAGGUAGUUGGUGAGGUAAUGGCUCACCAAGCCGACGAUCCGUAGCUGGUCUGAGAGGAUGACCAGCCAGACUGGAACUGAGACACGGUCCAGACUCCUACGGGAGGCAGCAGUGAGGAAUCUUCCACAAUGGGCGAAAGCCUGAUGGAGCAACGCCGCGUGCAGGACGAAGGCCUUCGGGUUGUAAACUGCUUUUAUAAGUGAGGAAUAUGACGGUAACUUAUGAAUAAGGAUCGGCUAACUACGUG